UACGUAGGGUCCGAGCGUUGUCCGGAAUUACUGGGCGUAAAGAGCUCGUAGGUGGUUUGUCGCGUUGUUCGUGAAAACUCACAGCUCAACUGUGGGCGUGCGGGCGAUACGGGCAGACUAGAGUUCGGUAGGGGAGUCUGGAAUUCCUGGUGUAGCGGUGAAAUGCGCAGAUAUCAGGAGGAACACCGGUGGCGAAGGCGGGUCUCUGGGCCGUAACUGACGCUGAGGAGCGAAAGCGUGGGGAGCGAACAGG
rnacentral:rRNA from 1 species